GGCUCUGUGGCGCAAUGGAUAGUGCAUUGGACUUCUAAUUCAAAGGUUGUGGGUUUGAGUCCCACCAGAGUCA